UACGAAGGGGGCUAGCGUUGCUCGGAAUCACUGGGCGUAAAGGGUGCGUAGGCGGGUCUUUAAGUCAGGGGUGAAAUCCUGGAGCUCAACUCCAGAACUGCCUUUGAUACUGAAGAUCUUGAGUUCGGGAGAGGUGAGUGGAACUGCGAGUGUAGAGGUGAAAUUCGUAGAUAUUCGCAAGAACACCAGUGGCGAAGGCGAUCAUCUGGGGUUGUUCUGACACUGAGGAGCGAAGGCUAGGGGAGCAAACGGG
rnacentral:rRNA from 1 species